rnacentral:rRNA from 1 species
UACGGAGGGUGCAAGCGUUAUCCGGAUUUACUGGGUUUAAAGGGUGUGUAGGCGGACUUUUAAGUCAGAGGUGAAAUCUCCGGGCUCAACCCGGAAACUGCCCCUGAUACUAUUAGUCUUGAAUAUUGAUGAGGUGGGCGGAACGGGUCAUGUAGCGGUGAAAAUGCUUAGAGAUGACCCGGAACACCAAUUGCGAAGGCAGCUCACUGGGCAAUUAUUGACGCUGAGGCAC